GGGAAUCUGUUGACACGUGGUGUUGGGACUUGUGGUCGCGUGGAACGGUCAUGGAAGAUAUGAGCUUCGUCGACGAAGAUGGCAAGCCUCUCGAUGUGAGGACGCUACAGAUUUUGAAAGAAACGUCACGAAAGGGCGGAAAGAGGCCUGGUGCUCAUGUCUAUCGGUUCAUUAACAAUAAGACCCAUCGGAGGACAAAGUAUAACAAGGCAACCAAGGUUCUCAUUGAGAAGGCUCGACAGUUGGAGGUCAUGACGGGCUCCACGGUCCACAUCAGCGUGACCAACCCAACUUACGCGAAAAGGUGCUACCCGAUGGAGGAAUCCCCUGUUGCUUCAGGGGAUUCAUCUGCUGCCCAAGCCCCAACCACAUCCACCGCCUCCACCGGGGUGCAGAC